rnacentral:rRNA from 2 species
GCAACAACCUAGCCCAACCAUAACAAAAAACCUCAACAAAAAAAUCAUCCAACCAAAACCAACCAAAACAUUUUUACCAUCCUAGUAUAGGCGAUAGAAAAGA